UAAGAUAAACAACAAACUUUUAUUUGACUGGGCCUUUGAAGGAGCACAAUAACCAGAGGCGCAGAAUGCAUUAUUUACCUCAGGAAGCGAUCAUGAAUUAUACAGAAAGUUGUCUGAGAGCCCCUGGGAGCUGUGACCUGUGGGGAUUUGUGAAGGAGGGAGUGCAUCGGUGGCAGCUUGCUCUGCGCUGCAGCAUGUGUCACACCCCACGGGCUCUAAUGGGGGAGCUGACCUCCACGGUAACCAGGAGGGAACAGCAAGGAGGUGGAGAACAAAAGCCUAUCCUUAGCAUACUUUAAAGUCCUUAACCUAGAUACAAAGCGUGCCUGUAAAUGAAAAGGCAGCCCUCGGAUUUUAGCUUAAGCCAAACAAAAUGAACUGGUUAUGGAAAAAUAGUUUUCUCUUGUUGACUACCGAGCAUCAGUUUUACAUUGGAGAUGAAGGGCGGAUAGAGUUUAACAGCGGUUACUCCAAGCUUCCCAUUGCCCUUGCAUUAUGGUUUUAGCCAAACGGAAAGCCUGGACCAAUUCGGGGUUUUGUUUUGUUGUUGUUGUUGUUUUAAUGUCAGUAUUAAAACAGCUGAUGAUGAAUUAAGUCAGAUGGCUUUGAACGUGUGAUUUGAUUUAUUCCUCCAUAGAUGCUGGGGUGCCUAGAAAAAUCUCAGCUCCUCCUAUAUGCACCACAUAUUUUGGAUUUAAUUUCUAGGUCAUUCAAAACAGAAACAUUCUUUAAUGUACUUUAUCAGUGUCUUCAGAUUUUGUUGGGCCUGGGACCAGUAGGAGAUGGAUCGUGUCAGUGUGGAUGGAGCUUGAUGUUGGUGUGCUUUUCAUCAAAGAGGUGAUAUGGCACUGCCAUAUUAAUUUCCUUCUCUAAGCCCCACCUGAAAAUUUUUGAUGACAGUGAAGGCAAUAAGGUCAUGAUUUUGUGGACGUGUACAAGCUGGCAAUUGCUGACUUGCUACUAAUUUGUUCCACUAAUUUGUUUGGACAGACCAGAUUUUGACUGGGCUCCUGCCAAAUUAGACCAACUUAGGCUGAAUCAGGUUAUACCAUGAUGCAGGCUGCAAACACAGAAAUGCUUGGUUCAAGAAGUGAAAAGGGGGAAAGGGAAAUCCUAAGUGUCCUGGGCUGCCAAAAGGCAAAAUUGCUUUCAAUGUUCCAGCUCCAUCUGGCAUCUGCAGGGCAAAGGAUCUGUGAGGGAAGGUGGGAUGGAUGGCAGUGAACACAAACACAUCAUUCUGUCCUCUAUUUCCUCAGUCCAUUGAAGCCUGAGGAUGCCCUUCCCACCUCCCACCUGGGAGCAUGCUCUUGGCAUUGCAGGGCAAGGUGACAGUAGCAGCCACGUCCCCGAACCUUGGUCCUUUAUAUCAAAUAAAUGGAUCUUCUGGGGUAACCUGUGGGCUGUUCCAUACCCAAUCCUGCCAGGGAGACCAUUAGAAUCCUUAUGACCUAGGUUCUCACCACUGUCACUGACUUAUGUGAACGUACCUUGAGAAAGAACACAAGAUGCUUUACUGCAUUUUUAUUUGAAAGCUCACAUUUCAGGCUGAUUCAUGCCAUAUUUCCUCAAGUGAGCAUAUUUCAGCUUGUGUUUAGGUUGCAUCAAGGUUGUGGAGGGAAGACUGCAUCAUGGAUCGCACUUCAUGGACUGCUGGAGUGAUUAUAGAUGCAGAAAUCAAAGGGGAUGAAGAGGAGAAAAGCAAAUCCUCCAUGGUGUAGCAGAGCAUCAGGACUGUGCUGUGCUGAGCCUUGGAUAAAGCAUGGGAGAUCUGAGGCCAUUUUUAUCAGAAGUACACUAAGAUUCCAUUAUUUGAGCUGAUCUUGGGCAACAAAGCAUGCUCUUUGGCUGAUUGGUUGGUUGGAUGGCUGGUUGGGUGGUAGUUUGUCCUGCUGGUUGUUGGUUGCCUGGUUUGUUUGGUUGGUUGGUUGAUUGAUCUGGCUGGUUGGUUGGUUGGUUGGUUGACUGAUUGAUUGGUUGGUUGGCUAGUUGGCUGGUUAGUUGAUUUGUUGGCUGGUUGGCUGGUUUGUUGGUUGGUGGGUUGGGGUGGUUCAUUUGCAUGACUGAUUAGUUGGCUGAUUGGUUGGCUGGUUUUGGUUGGCUGGUUUGGUUGGUUGGCUCAUUGGUUGGCUGGUUUGAUCAGUUAAUGGGUUGGCUGGUUUGGUUGACUGGUUUGAUUGGUUAGUUGGCAGGUUUGGUUGGUUAGUUGGCAGGUUUGUCUGGUUGGUUGUUUGGUUCACUGGUAGGCUGGUUUGGUCGGUUGGUGAGUUGGCUGGUUUGAUUGCAUCGUUGGUUAGUUGGCUGUUUGGUUGGCUGGUUUGUUUCAUUUGGUUUGCUUUAAUGGAGUUGGUGGCCUUCAGGCUUUUGUGGGACGUGUUCAACUACAGAGUGGGACAAAAUCCUGAUUAAGAAAAUAGCUGUGAAGCUCCUUGACUGAGGAAGGGUCUUUUUAUUAUUAUCCUUUACAUAUUUAUUUGACAGUCAUAGACAACAGAUGAUGAUGAAUCUUUUUCUGCAUACUUCAUGUGGUCAAAAAAGGAUUUGGUGUCUUUGGAUGCCUGAAUUGUUCGUAUUGUUGUUCUUAAGGUUACAGACUGCUAUAUGAUUGCUUUGUGUUCUUGGCACUAAAAUGAAAAUAAAAACAAAAUUCAGAACACCCAUAUAUUCAUAAUUGAUGGUUUUGUUUUGUACUGUUUUGUUUUCCUUAAAUAGUUGAAAUAGUUCAGCCUGAUUGACCAGACCAAGCCAUGGCGGUGAUAAUACGACUUAACAUGAUUUAUUCUAAGCAGCUUCGCUUGCAGUUUUCCUGGUGGAUGGCUUUCUUCCUGAAGUGGUGCUAAACCCCAUGAAAUACAGCAGAUCUCUAUGCAGAAUUGAGGGACGCUGAUGUUUGCUAAGUCAACCUGCAGCAAUUCCAGGCAGGUUCCUCUGAGCUCUCCGACUUGCACAUCUCAUCUGGAACGUUUUUUUAUCAGCAACACAGAGAGGGUUUCUCGCAGUUAAAUCCCCAACGUGUAUGUGGAAUUAAGGGCCACUGCAUACAUCCUGGUUAUCUCUAACUGUUCAAAC
rnacentral:lncRNA from 1 species